rnacentral:misc_RNA from 1 species
UGGGUGUCAUCCAAAGAAGGAAGCUGUAAAUGGGGAAAAUGUAACUUUUAGAGUUGAUGACUGCGAGAAAGAUGAAAAUUUUAUGGUCACGUGGAAUGAGGCAAGAUCAGAUGUUUCUUGUUCGUGCCUUCUAUUUGAAUACAAUGGUUUCCUCUGUAGGCAUGCAAUGAUUGUUCUUCAGAUGUGUGGUCUUUCAAUCAUCCCAUCCCAAUAUAUUUUGAAGAGGUGGACCAAAGAUGCAAAGAAUAUACAGUUAAUAUCUGAG